CGUAGGGGGCUAGCGUUGUCCGGAAUCAUUGGGCGUAAAGCGCGUGUAGGCGGUUCGGUAAGUCCGCUGUGAAAGUCGGGGGCUCAACCCUCGGAUGCCGGUGGAUACUGUCGGACUAGAGUACGGAAGAGGCGAGUGGAAUUCCUGGUGUAGCGGUGAAAUGCGCAGAUAUCAGGAGGAACACCAAUUGCGAAGGCAGCUCGCUGGGACGUUACUGACGCUGAGACGCGAAAGCGUGGGGAGCAAACAGGAUUAGAUACCCUGGUAGUCCACGCCGUAAACGAUGGGCACUAGGUGUGGGGGGUGUCGACUCCCUCCGUGCCGAAGCUAACGCAUUAAGUGCCCCGCCUGGGGAGUACGGCCGCAAGGCUA
rnacentral:rRNA from 1 species